UACGUAGGGGGCAAGCGUUAUCCGAAUUUACUGGGUGUAAAGGGGGCGCAGACGGCGAUGCAAGCCAGGAGUGAAAGCCCGGGGCCCAACCCCGGGACUGCUCUUGGAACUGCGUGGCUGGAGUGCAGGAGGGGCAGGCGGAAUUCCUGGUGUAGCGGUGAAAUGCGUAGAUAUCAGGAGGAACACCGGUGGCGAAGGCGGCCUGCUGGACGAUGACUGACGUUGAGGCUCGAAAGCGUGGGGAGCAAACAGG
rnacentral:rRNA from 1 species